ACCAUUCUAAUAAUAUUCACUCAUAUAAUCGCGGGGAUAUGGCCUGCAAGUUUCUACCGGUUUGCCUUAAACAAACUGACUAUGAGAAGCAACGAAGUAAUG
rnacentral:ncRNA from 2 species